rnacentral:rRNA from 1 species
UAGGGAAUCUUCGGCAAUGGACGAAAGUCUGACCGAGCAACGCCGCGUGAGUGAAGAAGGUUUUCGGAUCGUAAAACUCUGUUGUUAGAGAAGAACAAGGACGUUAGUAACUGAACGUCCCCUGACGGUAUCUAACCAGAAAGCCACGGCUAACUACGUGCCAGCAGCCGCGGUAAUACGUAGGUGGCAAGCGUUGUCCGGAUUUAUUGGGCGUAAAGCGAGCGCAGGCGGUUUCUUAAGUCUGAUGUGAAAGCCCCCGGCUCAACCGGGGAGGGUCAUUGGAAACUGGGAGACUUGAGUGCAGAAGAGGAGAGUGGAAUUCCAUGUGUAGCGAUGAAAUGCGUAGAUAUAUGGAGGAACACCAGUGGCGAAGGCGGCUCUCUGGACGAAGACUGACGCUCAGGUGCGAAAGCGUGGGGAGCAAACAGG